AAUAGCAGAUGACUUCCAAACAAAAAAAAAACAUAAGGCCAUGGGAGAGGAGGAGUGGAUAUCAGGCGUUUGGCCUCUGAGGCAGUAAACAGACCAGCACCUCGGCAGAAGAAGUGGCAUGAUCUAUGUCUGAAGCCUUCCAGUUCGCUCCUUGUCUCAGUGCAUCCAGGAACCUCAUGUACAGUGGAACAGCAGCCAGGGCCUUCACCUGGUGAGACGCUACAGCCAGGACUCUACCUGCAGGUUCACCACCACCACCAAAGGAUGGUUGUGAUCAGCUAGUGGUGAACCUUGGCAUCAACCUCUGAUGUAUCCAGCCCCAUCACAAGCCCCACAAAAAGAAAAGUGUCACCACCUGGACACAGACUGUUUCUCCUGUGUCUCUUCCUCCUUCUCCUGUUCCUGUAUCAAGCCCAGCUUCUUCCAUUCUGCCCUCCACUGCUA